rnacentral:rRNA from 1 species
CUACGGGUUGCACCAGUGAGGAAUAUUGCACAAUGGGGGGAACCCUGAUGCAGCAACGCCGCGUGGAGGAUGACGCAUUUCGGUGUGUAAACUCCUUUUAUAUGUCAAGAAAAUGACGGUAGCAUAUGAAUAAGCACCGGCUAACUCCGUGCCAGCAGCCGCGGUAAUACGGAGGGUGCAAGCGUUACUCGGAAUCACUGGGCGUAAAGGACGCGUAGGCGGGUUAGAAAGUCAGGUGUGAAAUCCUACAGCUUAACUGUAGAACUGCACUUGAAACUUCUAAUCUAGAGUAUGGGAGGGGGAGAUGGAAUUAGUGGUAUAGGGGUAAAAUCCGUAGAUAUCACUAGGAAUACCUAAAGCGAAGGCGAUCUCCUGGAACAUUACUGACGCUAAGGCGUGAAAGCGUGGGGAGCAAACAGGAUUAGAUACCCGAGUAGUC